GCUACGGCUUCCCCUAAUGCUGCUACGGGGGGGGCCGCGGCGACUCUCAAAUCAGCGGCGCCUAAACGAGGUGCACGUGUGCGGCUGCGAGGUAAAAGUAGUCCGCAGCUCGGCUUGCAGCGUAGCGGGAGUGGACGCGUGUGCGUGCCCACGAACGCUGGAGGAGGACGUUAGCAGCGGUGCGCGGCUGUUGGAGGCUUGGGUUUCAGCGCGGCGUAAAGGGGGCAGUUUGUGUGAGUGAAGGAAUCCCAUUUCAUGGAAUGAGAGGCCAAUCUUUAAUUGCUUUCCAGGGAAUUUCUGAUGAUCUCAGGUGAGCGCAGAAAACAGCCUGACUAAUGGAAACAUGAUCUCAAGAGAUUCCUUCAGGAUCAUACUUAAUCCUGGUUUGGACUGUGGACAUAGCAUCGCCUGCAGCAGAUGUUUGCUCCUGGCAUGGCUGCAAACUGCAUGAGCUCCAUCACCGACAAUCCAGUUCUCGGGAUGCAUCGCCAGCAGCUUGGACACGGAGAAGCUGUGACACAAACUCAGCAGGACAGUGGAGUGUAUUCUGCUGCUCGGAUAUUAUGGAACAGACCGGUCAACCUCGUCUGGAGAGGCACUCGAUAGGAAAAUCAGCUCUAUGAGGCUACGAUUACCGCGGUUACCACAAUGGAUCUACACAUUGUUUGACUUUUUCUAAAUUGAACCUGGAUUAAUAUUUCCCUGUAUAUACAUCUGCUUUUGAUAUUCAGUGUUUAUUCCCGCUGUUGCUCAUUCCCUGCACUUAUAUACUGUGUUAUUCUGGAUACAGUAUCAACAAAUGCUGGAACAGUAAACGGAAAAUAAUCAGCUGUUAUUUCCUCUUUAGGUCUAUUAUUUUUACAGGAGGAAGGCAGCACUUACACCAAUCUCGUAAGGAGCAAACUAAAUGUUUUCCUGUUGAAUUAAUUAACACACAUAGGAAUUGUCACAGGGAUUACUCAAUUAAUAAACAUUCAACAUCUUCCAAUUAAGAAAAGAUAAUCCUUUAUUAGUCCAGCAGCAGGGAAAUUACAACAAUUGCCUUCACAAUGAAGCCAUUGAACCAAAGGUGCUUAUGAAUACAACUAUUGACAACUCUUUGGGAGUCUUGUUCAUUCUGGUUGAGGAAUCUUUUCCAACUCUUUGAUCUGAUAAAGACGUAUUGCUUCAUCGGACUUGUCUGUGUAACCCUCGAACAGAAAUAAAAAAGAAAAGGUG
ensembl:lncRNA